rnacentral:rRNA from 1 species
CCUACGGGUGGCAGCAGUGGGGAAUAUUGGACAAUGGGGGCAACCCUGAUCCAGCCAUGCCGCGUGUGUGAAGAAGGCCCUCGGGUUGUAAAGCACUUUCAGUGAGGAAGAACGCCUGGUGGUUAAUACCCAUCAGGAAAGACAUCACUCACAGAAGAAGCACCGGCUAACUCCGUGCCAGCAGCCGCGGUAAUACGGAGGGUGCGAGCGUUAAUCGGAAUUACUGGGCGUAAAGCGCGCGUAGGUGGCUUGAUAAGCCGGUUGUGAAAGCCCCGGGCUCAACCUGGGAACGGCAUCCGGAACUGUCAAGCUAGAGUGCAGGAGAGGAAGGUAGAAUUCCCGGUGUAGCGGUGAAAUGCGUAGAGAUCGGGAGGAAUAGCAGUGGCGAAGGCGGCCUUCUGGACUGACACUGACACUGAGGUGCGAAAGCGUGGGUAGCAAACAGGAUUAGAUACCCGGGUAGUC